rnacentral:rRNA from 1 species
AACGAACGCUGGCGGCGCGCUUAACACAUGCAAGUCGAACGAGAAGGCGUAGCAAUACGCUUGUACAGUGGCGAACGGGUGAGUAAUACGUGGGCGACCUACCCUCGAGUGGGGAAUAACCCGCCGAAAGGCGGGCUAAUGCCGCGUACGCUUCCAUCUUUAUGGAGGUGGAAGGAAAGCCGUGCCGUGGGCACGGCGCUCAAGGAUGGGCUCACGUCCUAUCAGCUUGUUGGUAGGGAACGCCUACCAAGGCUCCGACGGGUAGCUGGUCUGAGAGGACGAUCAGCCACACUGGCACUGCGACACGGGCCAGACUCCUACGGGAGGCAGCAGUGAGGAAUAUUGCGCAAUGGGCGAAAGCCUGACGCAGCGACGCCGCGUGGGGGA